rnacentral:rRNA from 1 species
UACGGAGGGUGCGAGCGUUGUCCGGAUUUAUUGGGUUUAAAGGGUGCGUAGGCGGCCCCGUAAGUCGGCGGUGAAACCCACGGGCUCAACCCGUGGCGUGCCGACGAUACUGCGGGGCUUGGGUCGUCUCUGGGCGGGCGGAAUGGAAGGUGUAGCGGUGAAAUGCAUAGAUAUCUACCAGAACGCCGAUAGCGAAGGCAGCUCGCUGGGGACGUACCGACGCUGAGGCACGAUAGCGUGGGGAUCGAACAGGAUUAGAUACCCUGGUAGUCCACGCCGUAAACGAUGGCCACUCGGUGUAGGCACUUGUGCCUGCGCCCAAGCGAAAGCGUUAAGUGGCCCACCUGGGGAGUACGCCGGCAACGGUGAA